GACACCAUCGGCCUCCCAUUUCAUUUCCCCUCAUCUCUUCUAUCGUUAUCUAUCAAUCCUCUCCCUCUUCUCCUUCCUCUUCUUCCCUGCAUUUACUUCCCUUCUCUCUCUCCCCCAACUUGUGAUUGACCAUUACACCCUACACUCUAGUCUUCUUUCUUCUCCGCUUUUGAUCCAUACUUUUUCCUGCCACCUCUGCCCACCACCAUGGGAGGUAUCAGCCUCGAGGAGAUCAAAAACGAGAACGUCGAUCUGCACUCCUGUGAAAUUUCUUCUGCCUUUAGGUCUUGAUGCGUGCUUUAAAGUUUAAUCUGGUGUGGAACUUUGGAAACGAUUUGUUGUUGUUAAUUGUUACUAUUAUAUGUACGGCGAAUUUUUUGUUGUU